rnacentral:sRNA from 80 species
GUAUCUGAAACCUGACGAGGAUGAGAACCUCCGGGGGCAAGAGGUUCGACCCGAGCGAAGCGAGAGAACGUUGCGUCAGCAACGGCCCGCAGUGGCAAGUCAUCCUCUGUCACCGGCAG